rnacentral:lncRNA from 1 species
UCCCCGGUGGCACCGGACGGCUCUGUGGCUCGGCUGGAGCAGCAGCCUCGUCCUCGGCGCCGCCGUGCUGGCGCUGGGCUCCUGGGUUCACCACCUGCAGUUGGAGAAGACGGGAAACGUCACGGACGGACACAGGGACGUGACGCCGACGGAUUGCAGGAACGUGACGCCAGGGGAUUGCAGGGACGCGACGCCGGCGGUUUGCGGGGAUGCCGUGGCCCGUGACCGCCGGCACCUCCGGGAAGCCCUGUGCCCCCCCCAGGGGCAGGAUCCAGCAGAGGGCGACGGAUGCUGGCUCUGCCCGCCGGGCUGGACGUGGCGCGGGCGCAAGUGCUACUGGGUGGCCGACGGGACCCAGUCCUGGAACAAGAGCCGGAAGAACUGCAGUUCCCAGGAUGCYRAGCUGCUGAUGCCGGAGGACUGCGAUGAGCUGGUAAACGGGGAGGGGGAUGCGGUUGGGAACGUUGGGAUGGACCCCCCCUGAGAUCCAGGGCUGCAUCCGAGGGGCUGGAGAUGCCCGGAAAGCCGGAAUCGGUGCCCGCCUGUGUGGCCAAACCCCCCUGGAUGCCUUGGCCAGCGUCGGAGCACAGGGAAUGCCGGGCUGGAUUCGGUCCCGGGGGACAAGGGUCC